UACGUAGGGCGCAAGCGUUGUCCGGAAUUAUUGGGCGUAAAGAGCUCGUAGGCGGUCCGUUAAGUCGGAAGUGAAAUCUCAAGGCUCAACCUUGAAAUCGCUUUCGAUACUGGCGGACUUGAGGCAGGUAGGGGAAGGUGGAAUUCCUGGUGUAGCGGUGAAAUGCGCAGAUAUCAGGAGGAACACCGGUGGCGAAGGCGGCAUCCUGGACCAAUUCUGACGCUGAGGAGCGAAAGCCAGGGGAGCAAACGGG
rnacentral:rRNA from 1 species